UCCACGCCCUAAACGAUGAAUGCUAGUCGGUCGGAAAGCUCGUCUUUUCGGUGAUGCAGUUAACACAUUAAGCAUUCCGCCUGGGGAGUACGGUCGCAAGAUUAAAACUCAAAGGAAUAGACGGGGACCCGCACAAGUGGUGGAGCAUGUGGUUUAAUUCGAAAAUACGCGAAGAACCUUACCAAGCCUUGACAUUGAUUGAACAGACUAGAGAUAGACUGGUGCCUUUCGAG
rnacentral:rRNA from 1 species